rnacentral:rRNA from 1 species
AUUGAACGCUGGCGGCAGGCCUAACACAUGCAAGUCGAGCGGAUGAAGCGAGCUUGCUCCUGGAUUCAGCGGCGGACGGGUGAGUAAUGCCUAGUAAUCUGCCUGGUAGUGGGGGAUAACGUCCUGAAACGGGCGCUAAUACCGCAUACGUCCUGAGGGCGAAAGGGGGUGAUCUUCGGACCUCACGCUAUCAGAUUAGCAUAGGUCGGACUAGCUAGUUGGUGGGGUAGAGGCCUACCAAGGCGACGAUCCGUAACUGGUCUGAGAGGAUGAUCAGUCACACUGGAACUGAGAAACGGUCCAGACUCCUACGGGAGGCAGCAGUGGGGAAUAUUGGACGAUGGGGGAGAGCCUGAUACAGCAAUGCCGCGUGUGUGAAGAAGGUGUUAGGAUUGUAAAGCACUUUAAGUUGGGAGGAAGGGCAGUAAGUUAAUACCUUGCUGUUUUGACGUUACCAACAGAAUAAGCACCGGCUAACUUCGUG